rnacentral:lncRNA from 1 species
AUUCUAAUCUAAAUUUGGUUGUGUUUGGCUAGUCUAAUGGGGUCAUGUUAGUCGGGUUGAGUUGGGCUAUGCCAUCUUAAUUGGAUUAAAUUAGGUCAAAUAGAAAGUUUAAGAUACGGAAGAGUUUGUGGAUGCUUUUAUUGAAUUAAUAUUUGUUCAAUCAUUCAUAAAUUUUAAUAACUCACUAAUACAUAAUUUAGUAAGCUUGAAGACAUAAUUACAUAGACA